AACGAACGCUGGCGGCGUGCCUAACACAUGCAAGUCGUGCGAGAAAGUUCCUUCGGGAGCGAGUAAAGCGGCGCACGGGUGAGUAACACGUAGGUAACCUGCCCCCCAGUCUGGAACAACUAGAGGAAACUCUAGCUAAUGCCGGAUGAGACCACGAUCCCUUCGGGGGUUGCGGCCAAAGAUGGCCUCUACUUGUAAGCUAUCGCUGAGGGAUGGGCCUGCGGCCAUUAGCUUGUUGGUGAGGUAACGGCUCACCAAGGCUGUGAUGGCUAGCUGGUCUGAGAGGAUGACCAGCCACACUGGGACUGAGACACGGCCCAGACUCCUACGGGAGCAGCAGUGGGAAUAUUGCGCAAUGGCGAAAGCCUGACGCAGCGACGCCGCGUGGGUGAUGAAGGCC
rnacentral:rRNA from 1 species